rnacentral:rRNA from 1 species
GACGAACGCUGGCGGCGUGCCUAAUACAUGCAAGUCGAACGAGUGGCGGACGGGUGAGUAAUGCUCGGGAAUGUGGCUGAUGGAGGGGGAUAACGACGGGAAACUCUCGCUAAUACCUCGUACCAAAGGAUGAGCCCAAAUGGGCUGAGGUAGGUGGUGGGGUAAUGGCCUACCAAGCCGACGAUAGCUAGCUGGUCUGAGAGGAUGAUCGUCCACACCGGAACUGAGACACGGCCCGUACUCCGACGUGAGGCAGCAGUGGGGAAUAUUGCACAAUGGGGGCAAGCGGACGCAGCCAUGCCGCGUGAAUGAAGAAGGCCUUCGGGUUGUAAAGUACUUUCGGUGAGGAGGCGUUAAUCACAGAAGAAGCACCGGCUAACUCCGUGCCAGCAGCCGCGGUAAUAC